UACAGAGACCUCAAGCGUUAUCCGGAUUUAUUGGGCGUAAAGCGCAGGUAGGCGGGUCUGUUAGUCGUAUGUUAAAGCUCGGGGCUUAACCCCGAAGAAGCAUACGAAACGGCAGGUCUGGAGAAUGUGAGAGAUCAGUGGAAUUGAUGGUGUAGUAGUGAAAUGCGUUGAUAUCAUCAAGAACACCCAAGGCGAAGGCAACUGAUUGGCACACUUCUGACGCUGAGCUGCGAAAGCGUGGGUAGCGAAUGGG
rnacentral:rRNA from 1 species